GGCCGGGUUCUGCGCAAUUGGCGACCGUGAACCGAGUCAGGGCCGGAAGGCAGCAGCUCUCAGCGGAACAGCUGGUGUGCCGCAGGCGACCUGGCCGCU
rnacentral:SRP_RNA from 1 species